rnacentral:rRNA from 1 species
UACGGAGGAUGCGAGCGUUAUCCGGAUUUAUUGGGUUUAAAGGGUGCGUAGGCGGGUUAUCAAGUCAGCGGUAAAAUCGUGGAGCUCAACUCCAUCCAGCCGUUGAAACUGAUGAUCUUGAGUGGGCGAGAAGUAUGCGGAAUGCGUGGUGUAGCGGUGAAAUGCGUAGAGAUCGGGAGGAACACCAGUGGCGAAGGCGGCCUACUGGGCUCUAACUGACGCUGAGGCACGAAAGCGUGGGUAGCAAACAGG